GCUUGGCGGCUAUAAUGCAGUCGACGAGAUUACGGGGCUUGCUCCUUAUGAAAGUGGCGCACGGGUGCGUAACGCGUAUGCAACCUACCUCACCAGGGGGAUAGCCCGAAGAAAUUCGAAUUAACACCGCAUACAAACACAGGAUAGCAUUAUCUGCUGUUCAAAUAUUUAUACUAUUGAGAUGGGCAUGCGUGUCAUUAGCUAGUUGGGGGGGUAACGGCCCACCCAGGCAAGGAUGAAUACGGGAUCUGAGAGGAUGACCCCCCACACUGGUAGUGACACACGCACCACACUCAUACGGGAGGCAGGAGUAAGGAAUAUUGAUCGGUGGAGGCAACUCUGACCCAUCCAUGCCGCGUGCAGGAAGACAGACCUCUGGGUCGUAGACUGCUUUUAUUCAGGAAUAAACCUAUUUACCUGCAAAUAGCUGAAUGUACUGAAGGAAUAAGGAUCAGCUAACUCCGCUAACUCCGCCGCGGCAAUACGGAGGAUCCAAACGUUAUCAGGAUUUAUUGGAUUUAAUGGGUGCGUAGGCUGCUUAUUAAGUUGUGGGAGAAAGACGGUGGCUCAUCCAUCUCAGUGCCUUUGAUACUGAUGAGCUUGAAUGACCUGAAUGUAGGCGGAAUGUGACAAAUUAGCAGUGAUAUGCAUAGAUAUGUCACAGAUCACCGAUAGCGAAGGUGGCUUACUAUGGUUUUAUUGACACUGAUGAACUGAGCGUGGAGAUCAUACAGAAUUAGAUAGAUUGGUACCCUGGCACUCCACGACGAAACUCGCUGAUCUCGAUAUACAGUGAACGUCUAAGCGAAAGCUAUAAGUAUUCCACCUGAGUAGUACGCCUGCGAGCUCGAACUCAAAAGAAUUGACGAGCACUCACAGCGCACGAGCUGAGGUUGAGUCGAUGAUUCACUCGAACCAUACCAGAUCGUAGUAGUGAAUGAUCUCAAGUACAUCAGUGAGUAUCACGCGAACUCCGUGCUCAUGCUGUUGCAGCUCGUGCCUGCGUCUUGGGUUAGUCCGUAACCACCGCACCGCUAUUAUCACUUGCUUAUCUUAAGUU
rnacentral:rRNA from 1 species